CUUUUCCAUUAAAAUGUGUGGCUAUGGCAACCACACAUCUACAAUCUUUGAGGAAAAAUCACAGUCUACCUCUAUCCUUAGCACACUCUUGCCUAGGCCCAUAUACCCACUGGUACUGAGACAGCUUGGAAAGCAGGAAAUUUAAUCCAGUGUAUCCUUUAACAGAUGAGGAUACUGAAGGCCCAACAGAGAUGGCAAUAGAAAUGAAGCUCCUUACCUUUAGGAGAACUCCAUUCCUACUUCUUGGGAGGAUAAAU
rnacentral:lncRNA from 1 species